UGCGGGUGCGUGCGUGAGCGUGCGCGUCCCCGCUGCCGCCGGUGCAACUCCCGCGCCCUCUGCCUCCGCCGCCGCCGCUGCCGCCCGGGUACCCAGGCCGAGGAGCGCGUCGGCCGGCUACCCAGCUGCGCCGCGGAGCGGGGAGCGGAGCCGGGAGCCCGGAGUCGGCGGGCGGGCGGGGACAGUGACCUAACAUGGCAGACCAGAGGCAGCGCUCACUUUCUACCUCGGGAGAGUCACUGUACCAUGUUCUCGGGCUGGACAAGAAUGCGACCUCAGAUGACAUUAAAAAGUCCUAUCGGAAGCUUGCCCUGAAAUAUCACCCUGACAAGAACCCUGAUAACCCAGAGGCUGCAGAUAAGUUCAAGGAGAUCAACAACGCACAUGCCAUCCUGACGGAUGCCACGAAAAGAAACAUCUAUGACAAGUACGGCUCGCUGGGGCUCUAUGUGGCCGAGCAGUUCGGCGAGGAGAACGUCAACACCUACUUCGUGCUCUCCAGCUGGUGGGCCAAGGCCCUCUUCGUCUUCUGUGGCCUCCUUACCUGCUGCUACUGCUGCUGCUGCCUGUGCUGCUGCUUCAACUGCUGCUGCGGGAAGUGCAAGCCCAAGGCCCCUGAGGGCGAGGAGACGGCCUUCUACGUGUCCCCAGAGGACCUGGAGGCACAGCUGCAGUCGGACGAGAGGGGAGGGCACUGACACGGUGCCGCGAGUGUGUGUGGUGGCAGCUGGGACUGUUGAGGUGUAAACGUGGACGCUGAGAGGCCACAGACACGCCGAUUGUCAUUCAGCCCGCGUCCGCCACAGAGACCACCCAGCUCACGGCCGACUCCCACCCCAGCUACCACACUGACGGGUUCAACUAGGUUCAGGAGUUGCUGUGACUCCAGGAGGGAUCAGCACCCAGCACCGCAACCUUAGAUCCAUGAACUAGUCACCAGAUGGGGAGGCUCCGCGUCGGGCCUCCCUCCUCCACGCCCGCUGCCCGUCGACCCUCGAUGCCUGAAGUGCGUAGCAUGCAGUAUUUAAAGCAGUGUAGCUACGGUCUUCUGCUCUCCUUUUCUAGUAGCAUGUAUGGUCGUGUUCAGUGUCUGUGUUGUGGACCCAGUGCGGCUCGACCACGCUCGCUGGACAGUGGAGCUGCCUCAGGGCUUUCAGCCAGGUUGGUCCAGUGAGGGUGGACUGGGCAGGAAGGGCCUUGCUCCUGUACUCACGGGGCUGGGGUCAAUGCUGCCUAGCAGAGCCGCAUCUCCACCUUGGCCAUGGGUCAUGGACCUGGCUCAUCUGGCCCUUCAGGAACGAGCUGGGCCAGGUCCUCUGGAACCACAGGACCGUGGCCGUCUGUGGUGCUGUGUUGGCACAGUAUGCGCAGAGCCUCUGCACCUUGUUCCGCCUUGCGGCAGGUUCUCCAGUGGUGUGUGCUGUGGACAGUGUGUGCACCCCCGCAGGUGUGCUCUCUGCACAGCGUCUGCCCGGGCAUCCUGGCUGUGGGGCCUAAGGGUCCUGUCCUGGGAGGGCACCCCUCCUGAUGUGUGAGGUCCUUCGUCUCUGUUCCUGCACUUUCCCAGGCUGAGCUGGACGGCUGGAUGGGGCCGUCAUCUCUCCCCUUCCCUGGGUCAUUCUCCAUACCCCUUUGAGCCCACCUGUUUUCUUAGUCAUUUUGGACUUUGAAGAACCACAUGUGGUUUCAGUCAGGGUUUGAGUCCAAGUGGGAGGAUGAAGGGCUCAAGUGAGCUCCCAGGCCCUGGGACCCUCCUCCUGUGCUUGCCAGAGCUUCGUCCACCCCACUUGCCCUCACCUCUGCCUGUCGUCUUCAAUCAGCAAUGGAACCCUGGGUUCCUGGAGGAAGGUGCUGGAGCCAGGAUGUUCCUGGCCUCAGGAGGGCUGGGUCCUAGGGAGGCUGUGGGAUGCCCUGCUCGCCAGCCAGCCUGGGUGGCUGGUGCUGGACACGGAACUCUGAACCACAGACCUGUGGGUGGUGAGGAAAUGUGAGUACACAUGUCAAGGCUUUGAGGCCACCCUGUGCCCCCAACAAUUUCCUGGAUGUGCCGGACCAGAGUCCAAUGGGCCGAGUUCCUACAGGACCUUCCGGAAGCCUGCUGCUGAGCAUCUUCUGAAUUUCUAGUAGAAAUGAAGAGUGAGAAAACCCAUAUGGUGACCACAUGGUCCAGACAAACCACCCUGAGCUCCCAAUCCCCCUGCCCCUACUCCCUACAGCUCUGGGCUCCUGCUUGCCGGGGACUGCAGAAGGCAGGGCUUUGGAAUUCUGGUGCUGGUUGAGGGUACCCAACGAGGUCCAGUGAGGCUGCUGUGAUGCCAGGGCCCCCAGCUGACCUUCCUGCAGGUGGACAUGGGCAAGGCGCUGCCUAGGCAACAGGCCCUGGGAUGUGUGUGUCCAUUUUGCUCAUUGAACGAUCAUGAAGAUACUGAGCAAUAGGGCCACAUGCUAGGGUGUCACGCUGGAAAUGCUGUUAGCUCAGACCCCUCGUGGAGGAUGGGAACCACCAGUGGGCCCAUCGACAGCCCAGCAGGCAGCCCAAGGGCCAGUCGCAGCACAGCAGCAGCAAGGGCUCAACCUCUGCACUUUUCCCUGGGACCAUUAGGAGUGAAUUGCUUCCCCAGAACGGACCCAGGGCCACAGAAUGGAGGAGAGGUAGAAAGCCAUAGUGUGACGACUGGUCUGGGUCUAUGGGACAGCCCUCCUGGCAUGCAGCCCUGUGGUCCUUUUCUCAUGUCCCUGUGAGCUGUGGCCACUUCUUAGGAGAAAGGUGCUCCCUAGAUGGCAGCUGGGGUGGGAAUAGCCACUGGGCCCAGUGUCCUGUGGGGUCUGAAAUGUAAGUGAAUCAUGUAGGAUUUCUAACACCACGAACAGGACGUGGGCUCUGAAGCCACCGUCAGAGUGCAUCCCUCACCUGCUCAAGGCAGAUGCUGCUGCAGGGUGCACUGUGUUGGUCUGUGGCCACCCUGGUUCUGUUUCCCUUUCAAUAAGCACAGCUGGUGAGUCUUGGAGGUCAGCCUGACCCCCAUAUCCCCAGCUCCUGGUGCAUGGUGUAUUGCCUGGGGAGUGCUAGGGUUAGUGUGCUUGGAAGCUCGUCCAUAGCAGUGGUGCCCUGCAGGGUCCAGGCCACCUACGGUAGCUCUGGGAUGUAGAGAUUCCUGUGUCCGCCCAGGGCUGUGGUCUUGUCUUGUCUUCCUUUGGCUUCAUUCUGUUUUAAGCUGCUUUAGAUAUUGUUGCUCCAUGUUGAGCCUUCGUAGUUCUCUGGUGUUCAGUUAAUUCAGCCAGUGUCCAGUGGGGACCCAUUAAAGAGAGAAGCCAGAGUGCUCGCCUGUCUUCAUGCUGCUUGCUGGACUGGGCUGCAGCUCCAGUCUGGAAGCCCUGAGUCAUAAAACGGUCAAGACUCUUCUCAGAUGUCAUCACCCAGGUUUUACCAGCUCAUGGUCCUGUUGAGUCCAGACGAACCUUGUGCCAGAGGCAUGUCCACCAGCACAGAGGCCCUGCAGGCUGUCCCUCGAAGGUCCAGGUGCUGUGGGCAGAGGUGUGGUGGGUCUGCCCAUCCUCUUGACCUCAGUGUACUCUGGUGGAUAGCUGGUGAGAAGCAUGGCAAGCGCCUGGUGCCACUCUUUCCCAGUGCCGAGCUGUGGCCCCUGUGGCCCACGACUGACCAGUUCCCGUUAUUUUGGUUCUGAAACCCCUGCUGUGGACUGUCCUCACAGGUGCAGUUGUGUCGACAGGUGCUGUGGGCAUGGGCUGUGGUGUCUGUGUGUACAUAUGUGUAUAUGUAUAUAUCACGCAGCAGGCCCCUCGUGCUGCUGUCCAGUGGCGAAGCAACAAGUACAAUAAAGUUGGCUCCAAAGUG